rnacentral:lncRNA from 1 species
UAGUUUUAGAGCAAUGGUGUGAGCUCCAGGAGGGUCCCAGUGCCGAAUGUUGGGGGUCAGGUUUGCACUGGUGCUGGUAAUGCUUCCUUAAAAGAUAAGGUAAAAACCCAAAUGAAAUACAGGAGGCAAAGUUCUCACCACGCCACAUAAAUCAGGAAGUGGAGGUUUAAAUAUUGCACAAAAUGUCCUGAAACUCGCAGUCAGGUUAGCAGAGAAUUGGAGGAAAGUAAAGUACUGGUGGUGCCAUCAUCCCCUGGGGUACUUUAUGACCUGAGGUGGUUUGCAGGGACACUGCAUCCAAAACCAAACAGCACCUGAUGUACAAAGGGCAGGCAGGCAGAGGGGAGAUGCUAUUUACAUUAUGGAUGAGGAGCAGAACCACUGAGUGACUUGCUUUAAACCACAGGCAGUGCACGAGCAGAAACAGGGGUUGGAUUCAGGCCUCACAGACUUUCAUUGCAGAUGAUUGGUGCCGAGCUGCCUUCUUUCUGCUCCGUGCCAGAGGACAGCACAGAGCAGCCACCCGGAGGUCACAGCCUGCAGAGCGCCAGGACAUAACGCACAGAAAUAGAUCCCUGUUACAAAAUGUCGCGGGAUGUUUUUCACAUUAUCACCUUUCAGAGCAAAAGAUGCAAAGAAGAAACCUCUGCUCAUCCCCAUCCUAGAUGUACUAAUUGCCUCUGAGACAACUUCGCCAAGAGAGAAAAAGACAGACGCCCCGCUGUCACCAGGUGAAGCAGUGCCCUCAAACACCCCAAGGGUUGGGAUCAGCUGCACUGUGUUCCUGGGACACAGCCCCCACACACAGCCCUGUGCCACCAGG